rnacentral:rRNA from 1 species
GUCCACGCUGUAAACGAUGAACACUAGAUAUUGGAGGAUUUGACCCCUUCAGUGUCGCAGCUAACGCGUUAAGUGUUCCGCCUGGGAAGUACGGUCGCAAGACUAAAAACUCAAAGGAAUUGACGGGGGCCCGCACAAGCGGUGGAUUAUGUGGUUUAAUUCGAAGCAACGCGCAGAACCUUACCAAGGCUUGAAAUCCUACGAAUCCCUUUUAAAACGAGGGAGUGCUCUUCGGAGAAUGUAGUGACAGGCGCUGCAUGGCUGUCGU